UUACAUCUCUUCACGAGGAUCAAUUGGAGGGCAAGCCUGGUGCCAGCAGCCGCGGUAAUUCCAGCUCCAAUAGCGUAUAUUAAAGUUGUUGCAGUUAAAAAGCUCGUAGUUGGAUUUCUGGUGGAGGUGAUCGGUCGGCCUCGCAAGGGGUCUGCACCUGUAUUGUCCUUUGCCAUCCUUCAGGAAGGCGCUUCUUGUAUUAACUUACGGGUUGCGAACUCCUGAUCUUUUACUGUGAAAAAAUUAGAGUGUUCAAAGCAGGCUUAGGCUGUUGAAUACAUUAGCAUGGAAUAAUGAGAUAGGGCCUUGGUGGUUUUCUAUUUUGUUGGUUUGCACGCCAAGGUAAUGAUUAAUAGGGAUAGUUGGGGGUAUUCGUAUUCAAUUGUCAGAGGUGAAAUUCUUGGAUUUCUGGAAGACGAACUACUGCGAAAGCAUUUACCAAGGAUGUUUUCAUUAAUCAAGAACGAAAGUUAGGGGAUCGAAGAUGAUUAGAUACCAUCGUAGUCUUAACCAUAAA
rnacentral:rRNA from 13 species